CUUGAAAACACGCAAAACUGGAGAGAGAAACCAAUGCUGUCUCCUUAUCUCCUUCUCUCUUCCGUUCCCUUCUCUCUUUUUUCAACUCUCUUCCUCCUCUCUUCUCGACGCCGGCUUCAGCUUGGGGAGAGGAAAGUGAUGCGCCGAUGACGGCGCCUGCAUGGGGAGGCGACGCUGCUGUGAACACGGCGUUGCGGCCCAUUCGUUUGGGCCCAUCUCCAUCUCCUCUCUCUUCAACACCCACUGCGGUUUGGGGGAAGCUGUUGGAUUGAUAGAUGUCGGGGGAAUUUGGGAGUAUCAGGAAAGAUAGAUGUCAAUGCAUUGGUGAAUAUUAUAGGCAUUCGAAGUCUCAGCUUUAUGUCAAAUUCCUUCACAGGUCCCAUACCGGAGUUUUUUAUCGAAUGGGAGCCUUAAAGGGCUUAUAUUUAUCAGGUAACCAGUUUUCAGGUGAAAUUCCUUCGGAUUAUUUUUCUACGGUGAGUGGAUUAAAGAAAGUUGGGCUCUCUGGGAACAAUUUUAUAGGUGAAAUUCCAUUGUCACUAGUCCAAUUAUCACAUUUAAUUGAGUUGCAUCUCAAAAAUAAUAAAUUUUCGGGCACUGUCCCUUUGUUUGAACAGCCUGGUUUGAUAUCAUUUGAUCUGUCUAAUAAUAAUUUGAAAGGGCCUAUUCCCCUUGGAUUGGUGAAAUUUAAUGCAAGAUCAUUUAAGGGAAAUGCAGGGCUCUGUGGAGAAAAUAUAGGUAACGCUUGUGAUCCAUCUGAAGGAUCAAUUAGUCCAUCACCCAUAAAAAAAUUGUUGGUAAAGAGAAUACAAGGAUCUCGAUUUGGUCACUAAUAGUUGUUAUAGUUGUGCUUUUGGAUAUGGCAAUGGGGAUAUUGAUGAUGAGGAGAAGGCAAGAGCCUACUAAUCCUAUGAUUAAGGAAAAUCUUGAUGAUUCAGUUGAUUUGAGUGCACCAAGUGUUGGGAGGAAGGAUUUAGAGUCGAGCCAAAAGGGUUGGGCUCUAGCAAACUUGGCUUGAGUAGAAAGGGUUCGACUCGUGGGAGAGGUGUUGCGGAUUUGAUAAUUGUGAAUGACAAUAGAGGUGAAUUUGGAUUGGCAGAUUUGAUGAAGGCUGCAGCAGAGGUCCUCGCAAGUGGGACAUUAGGAUUUUCAUAGAAGGCAACCAUGGGCAGUGGAUUGAUAUUAGCUGUGAAGAGGAUUAAAGAGAUGAAUAAAAUGGGGAAUGAUCAAUUUGACGCUCAAAUGAGGCGCAUCGAAAGACGAAAACAUCGGAAUGUGUUGAUACCGCUAGCUUACCACUAUUGUAAAGACGAGAAACUAUUGGUCAUUGAUUUCUUCACUAAACAUAUUUGUUUCACAUGUUUACCAGUUCUAUCAGAGAGCUGAUUGAAGAAGAAUAUGCAGGAGUUGUCUGCAAAGCUUGUCGUAUUAUUGUUGCAUCGUACUUUUGGUUGUUCUGGUUGUUAUUGCAAAAAUAUUGUGCAUUUUGUGUUCAUGAAUCUUUUAUGCUUUGUUUGCGGUGUUGUUUGAAACACUACUUUUCGAGUCAUGGGCAAAGUUCCUAGCUGUGUUUUAUAUAUUGUAUCCUCUAAGUUUGUCGCUUAUGCUCCUUUUGUAUUUGUCCAUGAAGUAAUCUUGGUUGCUUGAGAGGCGAUAUCUAAUCAAAUAAACGAAUCUGGAAAAUUGCAUUCUCAUAUUCUUAGAAUGGGGUUCUGUAAGUGAAUGUUUGAUAUCCCAUGUUCCUGUGAUUGAUGGUUAUGAGGUAUGCGACACCAUCAUACCUAAGGUUCAAGAUUAUGGUUGGCUGAAGAACGAAGAGUUUCACUGUAAUCCUUGGUUAGGCUAGUGCGACAAAGAAAGGCAUUGGAAUUUUUGUACCUCGGUGCUUUAUGCCUUAACGAAAAGAUGAAUAAAAAUUCGUGGAAUUGAUUUCAAAUUUGCCAAGAAAUGUAGAUAGUUAUUUUGUUGUUUAAGAUGAUUAUAUUGUGAUUAUUUGAAUUGAUUGGAAUAGUUUGGCCAU
rnacentral:lncRNA from 1 species